rnacentral:rRNA from 1 species
GUACCUGCGGAAGGAUCAUUACUGAAAGCUUGGGGAUGUUGCUGGCCUUUCGAGGCAUGUGCACUCCUCGAACAUUCUUGACCCAUCUAUCACGCCUGUGCAUGCUUUGUAGAGUCCCUUUGAGGCCUCUAUGUAUUUGUUUUUUUGUACACGCCGAACGUCUUCGAAUGUGUUAACCUAUUAUUAAUAAUAAUAAUACAACUUUCAACAACGGAUCUCUUGGCUCUCGCAUCGAUGAAGAACGCAGCGAAAUGCGAUACGUAAUGUGAAUUGCAGAAUUCCGUGAAUCAUCGAAUCUUUGAACGCACCUUGCGCCCCUUGGUAUUCCGAGGGGCAUGCCUGUUUGAGUGUCAUUGAAUUCUCAACUCGAUCCCUUUUAAAGUGGAUUGAGCUUGGAAGUGGAGCGUGCUGGCCUUACGAAAGGUCGGCUCCUCUAAAAAUCAUUAGCGACGGGCUAACCGCGGCGCCUAUGGCAUUGAUAAUUGUCCAUGCCUUUUGACCGAGCGGUGCUUUCGCUCACAAUUGUCCUUUGGACACUUUUUUGACAAUCACCUCAAAUCAGGUAGACUCCCG